rnacentral:misc_RNA from 1 species
CUUCGCAGUAAAUACCCGUCACUACUUGAGUGAGAUCGUUUAUACCAGGGCAAUAAAGUAGGGCUUACAUAUUGGGCCGAGUGAAGAGCCGUCUCUGUGUUUUAUUUUUAUUCCUAAAUACCGCGUAGAGCGAAAAAGUUUUACAAUCUUAGGAUGAAUAUGAGGUUCUUUAGACGAAUAUGACGAGCGGCUGUCGUAAAUCAACUGACAUUUAGUAUUUCCGCGGUAAAUCGUGCCGAUAAUCAUUGACUGUACGAAUAUUUGCCUGAAAUAUUUCACCGCAUGAAUUCGGUCUUAAUAUUUAUGCAUAAACUCAGCACGUUGAAUCGAUGAUUCGGAAGAGUAAGUUAAUUUCACGGGCGAUUUAUCUUUCUGUCAGCAAAUUAUCGCCGUUAUUGAACGCGACUUUUUUUUCUUUCGUCAAUAAAACUUACGACGUGAGUCAUCGGUAACGAUACCACUGAUUGGUAUUCUGGUUUCAGUUUAUUACAUUCGUCCUGGCGCAACGAGCCGAAUAAUUUUUUUAUUUACCAAAACGAUCGAUCAUAUGAUUUUUCGCGGUGUAGAUCCUCCACUUCGGAACUGAUUGAUCACGCUGCCGGGGGUCGGGGGUGAAAUAUUUUUGGAGUGGUGUAUUGGCGUGGAUAAAUUGCGAAGUUGAUCUUCAACGUGAACACAACAAGGCACGUAGUUUCACGGUUCUGGAAGAUAACUUUGGAUAAUCGAUAGCCCAGCCGUGCCAUGGCAACGAAUAUUGUUAGGAGAGUGAGGUCAGUUUCAGAAUGCUGCCCCUUUACUCUACCGCGUAACUCGGUCGUAAAUGACAAGAGGUUUCGGGCUUGUGACGAAAAGAAUAACGUAAAAUGGGAAACACCGAGAGCAAUGUUACAAGUGGCGUGAAGAAACAGACGGACACAUCGUCAAUCUUGCUGUACAAGCUGGUAGAUUUGAAAGGCGGAGGUCUACUCGUUGACAUGAUGAAGAGAGCUGCUCAGACGAAACAAUUUGCCGAGCUUGACCACGCGAUGAGGACCAAAGUUGAGCCCUUUUUGUACAACAAGGGCAGAGGGAAGUGGAUACCGAUCAGCAAACUGGUACUCUUGCGGAACAAGGAACGACCUAGACAUAAAAUGUUACCAGUACUGAGAGCCAUGGAAAAUCCGGGUGAAUACGACAUCGACAAAGACCUUGGCGACGAGGAGAUCGACGAGGACAAAAUAGAUAAAAGCAAGUACAGAGAAGUCUGUUGGUCUUUGAGCGAAAGAGGCGCGGUUGGAGAGACCAUUCUGCAUCUAUGCAUGCUAAAUGCAACGGCGAUUCACGCCGACUUGGCCAAACGUCUGUUGAGGUUCUAUCCAAAGCUGAUAAACGACAUUUACAUCAGCGAUGAGUACUAUGGUGAAAACGUACUGCACAUCGCAAUCGUGAACGAGGAUCCUGCGAUGGUGAAAUUCUUACUGGACAGUGGAGCAGACGUCCACGAGAGAUGUUUUGGAAAUUUCAUGUGCCCCGAGGAUCAGAAAGCGUCAAGAGCCGACAGCGUGGAGCAUGAAUGGGUUUGCGUUGCGCCGGAAACGAAUUACAAAGGUUACGUAUACUGGGGAGAGUAUCCGCUGAGUUUUGCCGCCUGCCUGGGCCAGGAAGAAUGUUAUCGUUUGAUGCUCGCACGUGGUGCUGAUCCCGACAAGCAGGACACAAACGGCAACACGGUUCUACACAUGUUGGUCAUUUAUCAAAAGCUUGCAACCUUUGAUAUGGCCUACGAAGUGGGAGCCUCCCUAGCGAUCAGAAACGUUCAAUUUUUGACACCGUUGACUCUGGCUGCAAAAUUGGCGCGCAUCGAGAUGUUUUUUCACAUUUUAAACAUCGAACGGGAGAUAUAUUGGCAAAUCGGCAGCAUUACUUGCGCAGCUUAUCCUUUAUCGUUGAUCGAUACCAUAGACAUUGCCACUGGUAGAAUUAGCAACAAUUCUGCGCUAAAUUUGGUCGUCUUUGGUGACAAAGAUGAACAUUUAGAGCUGAUGGACGGCGUGCUGGUGGAUCUUUUAAAUGCAAAGUGGAACACGUUUGUCAAAUCAAGGUUCUAUCGGCAGUACUUCUUGUUCUGUUUCUACUUUUUAAUUUCCUUGGUGAGCUUCACCCUCAGACCAGGACCAGUGACCAAAGCGACGCCCACGUCGAGUCCGCUGUCACUGUCAACGGUUGAGGAAAUUUCGAAGCUGGCUAAAAAUUUGACGACAUCUCUUGCCUCGAACAUAACAUCGCUAGUGAGCAUAUCACCGGGCGCAGUGAACUGGCUGAGUUCUCAAAUAGCAUUGAACAUCACCUCGUCACUGGAAGAGAUUCUCGUCGCAUUGCUGCUCAGAGGACUUUCAUCAACGGAAUCAACCGUGACCGAGAUCAGUUCCCGUUCGGAUGAAAAUUUCACAACUGUUGGCGAAAAUGUGACCACUGGAUUUGACUACCUGUCUACAGCCGUCUACAGCAUUUUGAGUGAGAACACGACUUUCUUCGGUUUAAACUGGACGAUCUCAGCUUCGGACGUUGAGAACGAAGGCAGCUGGUGGAACGUAUUGACGACCGAAUGCAGACUGAUGGACGUGACGGGAAGUACUGCGAAGGUCCGACUGGUUGCCGAAAUUCUGAUGGAGCUUGGGGCGAUUUUAUACAUAGCGGCAGCGCUACGAGAGGCGAGAUUUCUCGGGCUUAAUAUGUUUAUAGAAAACCUGAUGACCGCACCGUCCCGGGUCAUGUUCCUAUUCGCGUGCGCCAUUCUGCUCUCUUUUCCAAUUUUGAGGCUGACUUGUGCCGACGAGGUUGAAGACAUGCUGGCUGUUGUCGUGAUGCUGACCCUCGCACCGUACUUCUUGUUCUUCUGCAGAGGCUUCAAGACCGUCGGUCCCUUCGUCGUCAUGAUAUACAGAAUGAUCAUGGGUGACCUUUUGCGAUUCGUAUCGAUAUACAUGGUCUUCGUUAUGGGAUUUUCGCAAGCUUAUUAUAUAAUCUUUCUUUCCUUCAACAAAAACGGUACGGAACCUGACAAUCCUGUACCUUCUCCGAUGGAAAGUAUAAUGGCCAUGUUUUUGAUGAGCAUGACCAAUUUCGGAGAUUAUUACGGUGCUUUUGAGAACACUCACCAUAAAACAGAAGCUAAGUGUCUUUUCGUCGUGUACAUGGCCAUUGUAGCGAUCUUAUUGGUCAACAUGUUAAUCGCCAUGAUGGGCAACACUUACCAAAAAAUCGCUGAGACCCGGAAUGAGUGGCAAAGUGGGCCAGAAUAGUUUUGGUCGUUGAGAGAGGCGUGAGUCCCACCGAAAGACUGAAAAAAUUAAUGGACUAUUCCCAACCGAUGUCCGAUGGACGAAGAGCUCUGGUUCUCAGAUUGAACCAAUCCGAGGCAGACAAGGAAGAGAUGAAGGAAAUAUUGGAGAUGAAGAGGGUACACGACAGGUUGGUAAAGAAACGCAAGGAACAGAUCCACCAGAACGAAAUGAAAAAAUCUUCUACUCAAGCGAAUUCUGUGCUUGGAAAAGACUUGCACAUGAACGACAGUGUGGCGUGACAUAGUUCGUUAGUCAUGCACUGGCGACUGAAUUUGGCACAACGUAGGAAGUGUGACAAUAAAAUGACACGCACGUAAUACAACUUCGAAUUUUUCGAAUGUUUAACAGACAUUGCACACCUUGUUCAACGUUCAUGCGUUUACUCAAAUUACUUUCAAAAAAUAUACAUU